rnacentral:rRNA from 1 species
CACGUAGGCGGACUCUUAAGUCGGUGGUGAAAUCCUGGAGCUCAACUCCAGAACUGCCUUCGAUACUGAGAGUCUCGAGUCCGAGAGAGGUGAGUGGAACUGCGAGUGUAGAGGUGAAAUUCGUAGAUAUUCGCAAGAACACCAGUGGCGAAGGCGGCUUACUGGCUCGGUACUGACGCUGAGGUGCGAAAGCGUGGGGAGCAAACA